CCUACGGGAGGCAGCAGUGAGGAAUAUUGGUCAAUGGGCGAGAGCCUGAACCAGCCAAGUCGCGUGAGGGAGUACUGCCCUAUGGGUUGUAAACCUCUUUUGUCGGGGAGCAAAAGCCGGACGUGUCCGGCUGUGAGAGUACCCGAAGAAAAAGCAUCGGCUAACUCCGUGCCAGCAGCUGGGGUAAUACGUGGGAUGCGAGGGUUAUCCGGUUUUAUUGGGUUAAAAGGGUGCGCAGGCGGAUUUUUAAGUCAGCGGUAAAAUCGUGGGGCUCAACCCCAUCCAGCCGUUGAAACUGGGGAUCUAGAGUGUGCGAGAGGUAUGCGGAAUGCGUGGUGUAGCGGUGAAAUGCAUAGAUAUCACGCAGAACCCCGAUUGCGAAGGCAGCAUACCGGUGAACAACUGACGCUCAGGCACGAAAGCGUGGGUAUCGAACAGGAUUAGAUACCCCAGUAGUC
rnacentral:rRNA from 1 species